rnacentral:rRNA from 1 species
AGGACGAACGCUGGCGGCGUGCUUAACACAUGCAAGUCGAGCGGAAAGGCCCUUCGGGGUACUCGAGCGGCGAACGGGUGAGUAACACGUGAGUAAUCUGCCCCUAGCUCUGGGAUAGCUCCGGGAAACCGGGAUUAAUACCGGAUACGACCACCUUAGACAUCUUUUGUGGUGGAAAGAAUUUCGGCUAGGGAUGAGCUCGCGGCCUAUCAGCUUGUUGGUGGGGUAACGGCCUACCAAGGCGACGACGGGUAGCCGGCCUGAGAGGGCGACCGGCCACACUGGGACUGAGACACGGCCCAGACUCCUACGGGAGGCAGCAGUGGGGAUAUUGCGCAAUGGGCGAAAGCCUGACGCAGCGACGCCGCGUGGGGAUGAAGGCCUUCGGGUUGUAACCCCUUUCAGCAGGGACGAAGCGAAAGUGACGGUACCUGCAGAAGAAGCGCCGGCUAACUACGUGCCAGCAGCCGC